rnacentral:lncRNA from 1 species
CAUUAGUCUUUGCCUGAUAAUGUGCCACAUAAUUUUUAGAAAUAGUCUAAUGCCAGCUCCCCCUAAAAACGAUUGUAUUUGCAUCUGCCUGUUUCACAGAAGCACUAGACAUCUGGAGUUGCCUCUUCAGAAGAUGAACCAAAGCUCUUAGUCCUCCAAAGACUUACCUACUUGCUGUGAUCAACUGGUCAAGCCCUUAUGUAAAUGGAGCACAAUCUAUUGGCAAUUUAAUUAGUUAUUUAAUACAUUAAGUGGUCCCCUUCCCAAAUGGCCAUUUUAAAUAAUAUUUUAGCCUAACUAAAAAUGAAAUCUCUAGGAGCAAUAAUUCAGUUAUAGGAAAAGCUACCUGUGCUUUUCAUGAAUUCAUUAAAUCGUAUCCUAAUAGACUUCAGUUGUACUAGAACCUGAUUCUUGUAAAAAAUUUUAGCAUACUUAUUAAUUCCCAUAAUGCCCUAAUUAAGCACCUUUUCAGUAAUACCCAGGAUGUUUCAGAAAUUUGUAAUUUUCUUGCCUGCACUGCCCUUGUUUCAUGUGAAGAAGGAAUUUGAGACUCUAAAGCUGUCAGUCUGACACUUUUAUGAGCUACAUUCAGCAGAAGAUUUUUUUUUUUUUUGGUGGAAAAGAAAACUACAAUGGUACUCCAGGGUGUGAGCUUUACUCCCCAGCCCUAGAAACACAACUUUUAGUGAGUGUUUCUCAGCACACCUGUGCAUGCCUGCCUUUAUUAGAUUAAAACAAUGCAUACUUUUGGACCUCAGAACUCCAGAUGGCUCUCAGUGAUCCUGCUAGCAGCUUUUAAUAUGAAAGUGUGAAAUAUAGCUAUUUCAUAUCUCAACUUUUAUUACUUUCAUUGCCUGGGUGUAGUUCUUCUCUCACUGAUUUUUUUUUUGAA